GACGAACGCUGGCGGCGUGCUUAACACAUGCAAGUCGAACGGUGAAGCGAGUGCUUGCACUCGUGGAUCAGUGGCGAACGGGUGAGUAACACGUGAGUAACCUGCCCAUCACUCUGGGAUAAGCACUGGAAACGGUGUCUAAUACUGGAUACGACCAACCCUUGCAUGGGGUGUUGGUGGAAAGAUUUAUCGGUGAUGGAUGGACUCGCGGCCUAUCAGCUUGUUGGCGGGGUAAUGGCCCACCAAGGCGACGACGGGUAGCCGGCCUGAGAGGGUGACCGGCCACACUGGGACUGAGACACGGCCCAGACUCCUACGGGAGGCAGCAGUGGGGAAUAUUGCACAAUGGGCGAAAGCCUGAUGCAGCGACGCCGCGUGAGGGAUGACGGCCUUCGGGUUGUAAACCUCUAUCAGCAGGGAAGAAGCGAAAGUGACGGUACCUGCAGAAGAAGCACCGGCUAACUACGUG
rnacentral:rRNA from 1 species